GAUGAACGCUGGCGGCGUGCCUAAUACAUGCAAGUCGAGCGAACGGACGAGAAGCUUGCUUCUCUGAUGUUAGCGGCGGACGGGUGAGUAACACGUGGAUAACCUACCUAUAAGACUGGGAUAACUUCGGGAAACCGGAGCUAAUACCGGAUAAUAUUUUGAACCGCAUGGUUCAAAAGUGAAAGACGGUCUUGCUGUCACUUAUAGAUGGAUCCGCGCUGCAUUAGCUAGUUGGUAAGGUAACGGCUUACCAAGGCAACGAUGCAUAGCCGACCUGAGAGGGUGAUCGGCCACACUGGAACUGAGACACGGUCCAGACUCCUACGGGAGGCAGCAGUAGGGAAUCUUCCGCAAUGGGCGAAAGCCUGACGGAGCAACGCCGCGUGAGUGAUGAAGGUCUUCGGAUCGUAAAACUCUGUUAUUAGGGAAGAACAUAUGUGUAAGUAACUGUGCACAUCUUGACGGUACCUAAUCAGAAAGCCACGGCUAACUACGUGCCAGCAGCCGCGGUAAUACGUAGGUGGCAAGCGUUAUCCGGAAUUAUUGGGCGUAAAGCGCGCGUAGGCGGUUUUUUAAGUCUGAUGUGAAAGCCCACGGCUCAACCGUGGAGGGUCAUUGGAAACUGGAAAACUUGAGUGCAGAAGAGGAAAGUGGAAUUCCAUGUGUAGCGGUGAAAUGCGCAGAGAUAUGGAGGAACACCAGUGGCGAAGGCGACUUUCUGGUUUGUAAUUGACGCUGAUGUGCGAAAGCGUGGGGAUCAAACAGGAUUAGAUACCCUGGUAGUCCACGCCGUAAACGAUGAGUGCUAAGUGUUAGGGGGUUUCCGCCCCUUAGUGCUGCAGCUAACGCAUUAAGCACUCCGCCUGGGGAGUACGACCGCAAGGUUGAAACUCAAAGGAAUUGACGGGGACCCGCACAAGCGGUGGAGCAUGUGGUUUAAUUCGAAGCAACGCGAAGAACCUUACCAAAUCUUGACAUCCUUUGACAACUCUAGAGAUAGAGCUUUCCCCUUCGGGGGACAAAGUGACAGGUGGUGCAUGGUUGUCGUCAGCUCGUGUCGUGAGAUGUUGGGUUAAGUCCCGCAACGAGCGCAACCCUUAAGCUUAGUUGCCAUCAUUAAGUUGGGCACUCUAAGUUGACUGCCGGUGACAAACCGGAGGAAGGUGGGGAUGACGUCAAAUCAUCAUGCCCCUUAUGAUUUGGGCUACACACGUGCUACAAUGGACAAUACAAAGGGCAGCGAAACCGCGAGGUCAAGCAAAUCCCAUAAAGUUGUUCUCAGUUCGGAUUGUAGUCUGCAACUCGACUACAUGAAGCUGGAAUCGCUAGUAAUCGUAGAUCAGCAUGCUACGGUGAAUACGUUCCCGGGUCU
rnacentral:rRNA from 1 species